UGCCAGCCGCCGCGGUAAUACAGAGGGUGCUAGCGUUAUUCGGAAUUACUGGGCGUAAAGCGCAUGUAGGUGGGAUAUCAAGUCAGGUGUGAAAUCCCGGGGCUCAACCUCGGAAUUGCAUUUGAAACUGGUAUUCUUGAGUCUGGAAGGGGUAAGCGGAAUUCCUGGUGUAGAGGUGAAAUUCGUAGGUAUCAGGAGGAACACCUGAGGCGAAGGCGGCUUACUGGUCCAGCACUGACACUCAGACACGAAAGCGUGGGGAGCAAACAGGAUUAGAUA
rnacentral:rRNA from 1 species